CGAGGCGGAGGAGGAGGACGGCCGCCGGUGGGCGGCGAGGCGGGCCGGGGGCGGUCUACACGUACUUGCCCGACAUUAUGGCUUUUGGUCCGGUCUGGUCGUCCGGCGCGGCGCGGCGCGGCUCAGCACGGGGGGCGCGCUGGCUGAGGCUGAUGGUACAGUGAUGCGGCGCACCGAUGGGUGGGGUGGUAGUAAAAACGUGGGUGGGAGCACAGGACGGGGAAGAAGGUGCGGCCCCUGGCGGGGCGGGGGUGGAGCCGGGAAGGUGGUGGCCUCAACUGGGAGGGCGAGAGCGAGACGAGCAGCCAGACGAUAGCGGCAGCGGCUGGUGGAUCGGGGGAGGUCGGAACCUUCUGUUUUAUUUGCUUGAUCUCUUCUUUUUCGAAUCGACGUAUUUCAGAAAGACGACAUCGUCUCGGCGUUGUACAUGCCCUGCUUGAUUUGAGGGAGCAGAAGCAGCAGGUGGCAUGUGCCUGCUGAUUUGAGAGUACACAGAGUAAUUAUUUUGUCUCUUAUCUCUCUCUAUCUCUCUCUCUCUAUCUCUCUCUCUCUCUCGUCCUGGAGACCUGGACCUUACAUUCAGUUGGCGGUUUUCUUUGUAGGAAAUUGCAGCAUUGUAGCAAUAAUUCAGUGGCAAUUUUUUGCUCAAGUUUUGAUGUUCCUUUACUGGCCUGUUGAACAUUUGAUUGUUCUUAAUUACUUCAUCUUUGGUGAAGGCAAGAAGAUGGAUAAGGAAACGGUGCACCCAUGUAUUUUUUAUUAUGCAACUGAAACACGGCUAAUACCAAAUUUCUAAUCUAUCUGGACAUAUAAAUUCCAUAAUAAGUUGAUUAAACUUGCAGGUCGUGGAUAGAUAUGAGCUUCUUAGCAAAUAAGCAUUCAGAUGAUUAAGUCUACCACUUCUUAUGCUAUGAUAUUUUUUUGUGAUUCUGUUAUUUACACUGGUUCAAUAAAAUAGUUCUUCUUUGUUAGAAUGUUUUCUAUGAAUAUAAAUUAUUUACAUGGGUUCAAUAAUAUGUUCAGUUGGCUUGCCGUUUAUGUCAAUUGAAUAAAAAUCUUAUAUGAGCAUUCUAUGAAUAUAAACAUGUGUUCAAUAUUUUUUAAAAUAUGUGCGUGACGCAUGUAUAUUUUACUAGUCAUAAUAGUCAUUAGAUCUGUUAUCUUUUCUAAUAAAUUGCACACAUCUGCUAUUAUAAAAAUAGACUAAAGUACCCCUUAACAUGUAUCUAAUUAUCCACCUAUGCCAUUAUAAAAAAAGUCUAAAGUAACCCCCUAAUUUUUGUGUAAAUUACCCAACCAUGCCAUUUAAAUAAUAAUACAAAAUAGCCCCCAAAUGUAUAUAUAAAUUAUCCAAUUAUGUCAUUAUUAAAAGUUAAAGUAACCCCUAAAUCUGAAUCUAAAUUAUAUAAUUAUAAUAAACUAUUAAAGUAUAUCAAUAUAAAAUUCUAAAUUACUAUUUCUAUUAUUAUUAUAUUAUUGUUAUAUAAAAAUACUACCCACGAUAAGUUUCACGGUGUAUUACUAUUGCUAAUUGGAGGUUCCUUCGAAGCCUACACGUAAAGCCACCAAGGAUUCUAGGUGGAUAUUUUAAAAAUAAAAAAAAUAGAGAAAUCCUUCUCAUAAAAAUUAGAAACAUCUAGCCAUCCAUCUGAUUACUCUAAUCAUAAUAGUCAUUGGAUCUAUUAUCUUUUCUAAUAAAUUACCCACAUCAGUCAUUAUAAAAAUAGACUAAAGUGGCCUCUAAACAUGUAUCUAAAUUACCACCUCUACCAUUAUAAAAAAAUUAAAGUAACCCCUAAAUUUAUAUAAAUUAAAAAAAACUCGACCUACGAGCGGGCUCACCCCGGCCCGCUCUCACACGGGUUACGGUAUGGGUUACGGCGCCCCAGUGUAAGGGUGGGGUAGGGGUUCGGGGGUUUUCUCGGCCUGUGUGAGAGGUCUUCUUCUUACAUUAAUGCUCGGGGUGGCUUGCCCCUAAAUCUGAAUCUAAAUUAUAUAAUUAUAAUAAAAUAUUAAAGCAUAUCAAUAAUAAAAUUCUAAAUUAUUAUUUAUAUUAUUAUAUUAUUAUUUAUAUAAAAAUACUACCCAUGAUAAGUGUCACAAUGUAUUCAUGUACGAUGAAUGAUAAAAACUAAUUCAUAAAUAAAUAGUUCAAUUAGUUAUAUAUAUAAUACACAUGAAGGUGUGCUGUAAAAUGAAAUCUAUUACAACUAUAUUACGAUAAAUAUAUUUUAUAUGUGUUAGAAUAUUAAAUAGAUGCUAGUGCGUGAGAUAGAUAAUUAUAGUUAUUAGUUGUAUGAUUUAUUUUUAAAAUAACUCUAAUUAGCCUGGGAGCAAGAGUUGAUAGGCUAGUUUAUAAAUAAUAAGAAGAAAAUCGCCCAAUAAAUUAAACAUUUUCAAUGAGACCCCACCCCCUCCCCCUCCCCCAAGCAAAUCACGCCAUUUGUUAUAGCCUGCUUUUGCAUCAUGUAUCUAUUCUGAAGGAGUGAUAUGAAUGUUUAUUAGGUAUGAGUCGUAUGACCACACUCCAAUUAUUACUCGUCAUCCUUACUGAAAUUUUAUAUCACUACAGGUUAAGCUAACUAAGGUUUCCCAUGUCAGUAUUGGGCGACAACACUUACAUGUCUGUCAUUGUCAAGCAGCCUGCAAGCAUUUGCGAUUGGCAUCCUGAUCGACCCGAAGAGAUCAGCAUGGACGCUCAAAUGGGAUCUUAAACUUCUAACAGUUGUAUACUUGGGGGUGUUCACCACUGGUGUGGCAUUUAUUCUGAUGUCAUGGGCAGUCAAGCGUUGCGGGUCGAUCUACCCGCCAGGGGCGAAACUAGAGCUGAAUCGAGGGGGGUGCCCUGUCUAUGAUUGUGCUACUAGCUCUAUGAUUUAUGAAGUGAAAAUUUGAUAAUUAACACUGAGUUUUUGUUUUGGCGUGGGUGCCCAGGCACACCCCAUACACAACCUAGCUCCGCCCCUGCUACCCGCCCAUGUUCAAGUCAUUGGCGAUGGUCGCCAUAGAGGUGAUGGACGCGGUGUUGCUUGGCACCAGUAUCUUCUUAGGGAGCAGCAUACUGGGUACGUUGCUCGUCAUCUUGGGGGUCUAUACGUUUCUAUGGGGGAAGGAAAGGAGCUGCAGCGAGCUGCGGCAGGGCAGAAGGCUGAUGAGAAGCAGGCCACCUCAAAUGGAGAACAGGGCGGGCAUGAGUUGCAGUUGCAGCAUGGAGUUCUGUAAUGAACUUUUUGCAUCUUGUUUUAAUUAUUCCGCGGGAAUUUAGUUUUAGUCCUUUUUUUGUUUUUCCCUUUUAAUUUGGAAAUUUCUUCCACCAUGUUAGUGUGCGCUGUGAUUCCAUUCAACAUCCCUUAAGAAUGGUGGGUAGCGAAAGGACCUCUAACUGACUUAGUUAGAUGGCUCUUGUAGUGGAUGUUUGCUGUUUCUUUUUUUAACAAUUGAAAUUUCUCAAAUGGCGUGAUUCAGUUUU